rnacentral:rRNA from 1 species
UACGUAGGGUGCAAGCGUUGUCCGGAAUUAUUGGGCGUAAAGAGCUCGUAGGCGGUCUGUCGCGUCGGCUGUGAAAACCCGGGGCUCAACCCCGGGCCUGCAGUCGAUACGGGCAGACUAGAGUACUGCAGGGGAGACUGGAAUUCCUGGUGUAGCGGUGGAAUGCGCAGAUAUCAGGAGGAACACCGGUGGCGAAGGCGGGUCUCUGGGCAGUAACUGACGCUGAGGAGCGAAAGCGUGGGGAGCGAACAGG